GUUUUCAGAGGCGUGGAGGGAGCCCGAGAAGAGCAGAUGUUGACACCACCAUCACUGCCUGCAGCAGUGAGACCAGGGGCACAGUUUUUGUUGAAAGGGUCGACCAGGAAGCACUUCCUUGACUCUGUCCUAAAGCCUCUGGAGAGCCCUUAAAUUUGUGGUCCUUGAAGCUAUUGUAAAGGUGAGGACACAGCGAGGAGUAGGCUGUCUAUGAACCAGGAAGUGGGCCCUCACCAGACACAGAAUCUGCCAGCACCUCAAUUUGGACUUCCCAGACUCCAGAACUGCAAGAAAUUAAUUUCUAUUGCUCACAAGCCACCCAGUCUAUGGUAUUCUGUUACAGCAGCUGGAGCAAACUGAGACAGUACUUGACAGUGAUUUUCAUGAAGGUUCUCCCUUGCUCAUUUUUAAGCCCACUGGUUCAGACAGAAGCCUCUGGGAGAGCCCUCCAGAGUCCACCUUGAAGGCUUCAUUCCUUCUACCCAGAGCAUCUCCGUGGAGAGGAAGAAAAAGCAUCAAUGAAAUGAGGUGCCCCAGCGGUUCUGGGGAGCAAUUCCUCUCUUCAUAUGACCAUUUGGGAAACCCCCAGUGAGAUGGAGUGUGCUUUUAAGCCAUGA
rnacentral:lncRNA from 1 species